UAGCAAGCCUCCCGCGUGCUGGGGUCUGCAGUGACCCUGUGCAUUCUUACAGUGCUUGCUAGAACAUUCUUACAGUGCUUGCUAGAAGCAUUUUGAAAUGCUUUGAGGCCUUGCCCUGCUCUAUCCAGAGCAAGGUUAUAGAAAUUUCAAGCAAUU